rnacentral:rRNA from 1 species
AAUGAACGCUGGCGGCGUGCUUAACACAUGCAAGUCGUGCGCGAAGGAGGCUUCGGUCUCUGGAGAGCGGCGAACGGGUGAGUAACACGUGGGUAAUCUGCCUGGGAAUGGGGGAUAACCUGGGGAAACUCGGGCUAAUACCGCAUACGUUGGUUGGAUCUUGGUCUGACCUAAGAAAGCUGGCCUCUGCUUGCAAGCUAGCGUUCCUGGAGGAGCCCGCGGCUGAUUAGCUAGUUGGUGGGGUAAAGGCUCACCAAGGCGACGAUCAGU